rnacentral:rRNA from 1 species
UAGGUCUCAGUUCGGACUGUAGGCUGCAACUCGCCUACACGAAGUUGGAAUUGCUAGUAAUCGUGGAUCAGCAUGCCACGGUGAAUACGUUCCCGGGUCUUGUACACACCGCCCGUCACACCAUGGGAGCUGGUAACCACCCGAAGUCAGUAGUCUAACCGCAAGGAGGACGCUGCCGAAGGUGGGAUUAGCGACUGGGGUGAAGUCGUAACAAGGUAUC